rnacentral:rRNA from 1 species
GAUAUUGGGCAAUGGGCGAAAGCCUGAUCCCGCCAUGCCGCGUGUGUGAAGGAGGUCUUCGUAUUGUAAAGCACGUUAAGUUGGGGGGAGGGGUUGUAGGUUAAUACAAUGUAAUUCUGACGUAACCGACAGAAUAAGCACCGGCUACCUUCCUGCAAGCAGCCGCGGUAAUACGAAGGGUGCAAGCGUUAACCGGAAUUACUGGGUUUAAAGCGUGCGUAGGUGGCUCGAUAAGUUAGAAGUGAAGGUCCCGGGCUUAACCGGGGAAUUGCUUUCAAAACUGACGGGCUAGAAUACGAUAGAGGGUAGUGGAAUGUCCUGUGUAGCGGUGAAAUGCAUAGAUAUAGGAAGGAACAUCAGUGGCGAAGGCGACUACCUGGACUGGUACUGACACUGAGGUGCGAAAGCGUGGGGAGCAAACAGG